rnacentral:rRNA from 1 species
UACGAAGGGGGCUAGCGUUGCUCGGAAUCACUGGGCGUAAAGGGUGCGUAGGCGGGUUUUUAAGUCAGGGGUGAAAUCCUGGAGCUCAACUCCAGAACUGCCUUUGAUACUGGGGAUCUCGAGUCCGGAAGAGGUGAGUGGAACUCCGAGUGUAGAGGUGAAAUUCGUAGAUAUUCGGAAGAACACCAGUGGCGAAGGCGGCUCACUGGUCCGGUACUGACGCUGAGGUGCGAAAGCGUGGGGAGCAAACAGGG